rnacentral:rRNA from 1 species
ACGGAAGGCAGCAGUGGGGAAUAUUGCACAAUGGGGGAAAUCCUGAUGCAGCGACGCCGCGUGAGUGAUGAAGUAUUUCGGUACGUAAAACUCUAUCAGCAGGGAAGAUAAUGACGGUACCUGACUAAGAAGCCCCGGCUAAAUACGUGCCAGCAGCCGCGGUAAUACGUAUGGGGUAAGCGUUAUCCGGAUUUACUGGGUGUAAAGGGAGCGCAGGCGGUUUUGUAAGUUGAGUGUGAAAACCCGGGGCUCAACCCCGGGACUGCACCCAAAACUGCGAGGCUAGAGUGUCGGAGGGGCAAGCGGAAUUCCUAGUGUAGCGGUGAAAUGCGUAGAUAUUAGGAGGAACACCGGUGGCGAAGGCGGCUUGCUGGACGACAACUGACGCUGAGGCUCGAAAGCGUGGGGAGCAAACAGGAUUAGAUACCCUGGUA